GGUUAAGCGACUAAGCGUACACGGUGGAUGCCCUGGCAGUCAGAGGCGAUGAAGGACGUGCUAAUCUGCGAAAAGCGACGGCGAGGUGAUAUGAACCCUUGACCCGUCGAUGUCCGAAUGGGGAAACCCAGUGUGUUUCGACACACUAUCGUUAACUGAAUACAUAGGUUAACGAGGCGAACCGGGGGAACUGAAACAUCUAAGUACCCCGAGGAAAAGAAAUCAACCGAGAUUCCCCCAGUAGCGGCGAGCGAACGGGGAGCAGCCCGGAGUCUGAAUCAGCUUGUGUGUUAGUGGAAGCGUCUGGAAAGUCGCACGGUACAGGGUGACAGUCCCGUACACGAAAAUGCACAGGUUGUGAACUCGAAGAGUAGGGCGGGACACGUGGUAUCCUGUCUGAAUAUGGGGGGACCAUCCUCCAAGGCUAAAUACUCCUGACUGACCGAUAGUGAACCAGUACCGUGAGGGAAAGGCGAAAAGAACCCCGGCGAGGGGAGUGAAAAAGAACCUGAAACCGUGUACGUACAAGCAGUGGGAGCACCUUCGGGUGUGACUGCGUACCUUUUGUAUAAUGGGUCAGCGACUUAUAUUCUGUAGCAAGGUUAACCGUAUAGGGGAGCCGCAGGGAAACCGAGUCUUAACUGGGCGUUAAGUUGCAGGGUAUAGACCCGAAACCCGGUGAUCUAGCCAUGGGCAGGUUGAAGGUUGGGUAACACUAACUGGAGGACCGAACCGACUAAUGUUGAAAAAUUAGCGGAUGACCUGUGGCUGGGGGUGAAAGGCCAAUCAAACCGGGAGAUAGCUGGUUCUCCCCGAAAGCUAUUUAGGUAGCGCCUCGUGAACUCAUCUUCGGGGGUAGAGCACUGUUUCGGCUAGGGGGCCAUCCCGGCUUACCAACCCGAUGCAAACUACGAAUACCGAAGAAUGUUAUCACGGGAGACACACGGCGGGUGCUAACGUCCGUCGUGAAGAGGGAAACAACCCAGACCGCCAGCUAAGGUCCCAAAGUCAUGGUUAAGUGGGAAACGAUGUGGGAAGGCACAGACAGCCAGGAUGUUGGCUUAGAAGCAGCCAUCAUUUAAAGAAAGCGUAAUAGCUCACUGGUCGAGUCGGCCUGCGCGGAAGAUGUAACGGGGCUAAACCAUGCACCGAAGCUGCGGCAGCGACGCUUAUGCGUUGUUGGGUAGGGGAGCGUUCUGUAAGCCGUCGAAGGUGUGCUGUGAGGCAUGCUGGAGGUAUCAGAAGUGCGAAUGCUGACAUAAGUAACGAUAAAGCGGGUGAAAAGCCCGCUCGCCGGAAGACCAAGGGUUCCUGUCCAACGUUAAUCGGGGCAGGGUGAGUCGACCCCUAAGGCGAGGCCGAAAGGCGUAGUCGAUGGGAAACAGGUUAAUAUUCCUGUACUUGGUGUUACUGCGAAGGGGGGACGGAGAAGGCUAUGUCAGCCGGGCGACGGUUGUCCCGGUUUAAGCGUGUAGGUGUGUGUUCCAGGCAAAUCCGGUUCACUUUAACACUGAGGCGUGAUGACGAGGCACUACGGUGCUGAAGUGAUAAAUGCCCUGCUUCCAGGAAAAGCCUCUAAGCAUCAGGUAACACGAAAUCGUACCCCAAACCGACACAGGUGGUCAGGUAGAGAAUACCAAGGCGCUUGAGAGAACUCGGGUGAAGGAACUAGGCAAAAUGGUGCCGUAACUUCGGGAGAAGGCACGCUGAUAUGUAGGUGAAGUCCCUGCGGACGGAGCUGAAAUCAGUCGAAGAUACCAGCUGGCUGCAACUGUUUAUUAAAAACACAGCACUGUGCAAACACGAAAGUGGACGUAUACGGUGUGACGCCUGCCCGGUGCCGGAAGGUUAAUUGAUGGGGUUAGCGGCAACGCGAAGCUCUUGAUCGAAGCCCCGGUAAACGGCGGCCGUAACUAUAACGGUCCUAAGGUAGCGAAAUUCCUUGUCGGGUAAGUUCCGACCUGCACGAAUGGCGUAAUGAUGGCCAGGCUGUCUCCACCCGAGACUCAGUGAAAUUGAACUCGCUGUGAAGAUGCAGUGUACCCGCGGCAAGACGGAAAGACCCCGUGAACCUUUACUAUAGCUUGACACUGAACACUGGUCCUUGAUGUGUAGGAUAGGUGGGAGGCUUUGAAGCGUGGACGCCAGUCUGCGUGGAGCCGUCCUUGAAAUACCACCCUUUAAUGGCUGGUGUUCUAACGUGGACCCGUAAUCCGGGUUGCGGACAGUGUCUGGUGGGUAGUUUGACUGGGGCGGUCUCCUCCCAAAGAGUAACGGAGGAGCACGAAGGUUAGCUAAUCCUGGUCGGACAUCAGGAGGUUAGUGCAAUGGCAUAAGCUAGCUUGACUGCGAGAGUGACGGCUCGAGCAGGUGCGAAAGCAGGUCAUAGUGAUCCGGUGGUUCUGAAUGGAAGGGCCAUCGCUCAACGGAUAAAAGGUACUCCGGGGAUAACAGGCUGAUACCGCCCAAGAGUUCAUAUCGACGGCGGUGUUUGGCACCUCGAUGUCGGCUCAUCACAUCCUGGGGCUGAAGUAGGUCCCAAGGGUAUGGCUGUUCGCCAUUUAAAGUGGUACGCGAGCUGGGUUUAGAACGUCGUGAGACAGUUCGGUCCCUAUCUGCCGUGGGCGCUGGAGAAUUGAGGGGGGCUGCUCCUAGUACGAGAGGACCGGAGUGGACGCAUCACUGGUGUUCGGGUUGUCAUGCCAAUGGCACUGCCCGGUAGCUAAAUGCGGAAGAGAUAAGUGCUGAAAGCAUCUAAGCACGAAACUUGCCCCGAGAUGAGUUCUCCCUGAGACUUUAAGUCUCCUGAAGGAACGUUGAAGACGACGACGUUGAUAGGCCGGGUGUGUAAGCGCAGCGAUGCGUUGAGCUAACCGGUACUAAUGAACCGUGAGGCUUAACCUU
rnacentral:rRNA from 1 species